CCUACGGGGUGCAGCAGUAGGGAAUCUUUCACAAUGGGCGAAAGCCUGAUGGAGCAACGCCGCGUGCAGAAUGAAGGCCUUCGGGUUGUAAACUGCUUUUAUAAGCGAGAAAUAUGAUGGUAACUUAUGAAUAAGGAUCGGCUAACUACGUGCCAGCAGCCGCGGUCAUACGUAGGAUCCGAGCAUUAUCCGGAGUGACUGGGUGUAAAGAGUUGCGUAGGUGGCAUAAUAAGUAGCUAGUGAAAUCUGGUGGCUCAACCAUUCAGACUAUUAGCUAAACUGUUAAGCUCGAGACCGUUAGGGGUAACUGGAAUUUCUAGUGUAGGAGUGAAAUCCGUAGAUAUUAGAAGGAACACCAAUAGCGUAGGCAGGUUGCUGGGACGGUUCUGACACUAAGGCACGAAAGCGUAGGGAGCAAACGGGAUUAGAUACCCCUGUAGUC
rnacentral:rRNA from 1 species